AGUGAACGCUGGCGGUAGGCCUAACACAUGCAAGUCGAACGGCAGCACAGUAAGAGCUUGCUCUUACGGGUGGCGAGUGGCGGACGGGUGAGGAAUACAUCGGAAUCUACUUUUUCGUGGGGGAUAACGUAGGGAAACUUACGCUAAUACCGCAUACGACCUACGGGUGAAAGCAGGGGAUCUUCGGACCUUGCGCGAUUGAAUGAGCCGAUGUCGGAUUAGCUAGUUGGCGGGGUAAAGGCCCACCAAGGCGACGAUCCGUAGCUGGUCUGAGAGGAUGAUCAGCCACACUGGAACUGAGACACGGUCCAGACUCCUACGGGAGGCAGCAGUGGGGAAUAUUGGACAAUGGGCGCAAGCCUGAUCCAGACAUACCGCGUGGGUGAAGAAGGCCUUCGGGUUGUAAAGCCCUUUUGUUGGGAAAGAAAAGCAGCAGGUUAAGACCCCGCUGUUCUGACGGUACCCAAAGAAGAAGCACCGGCUAACUUCGU
rnacentral:rRNA from 1 species